GCGAACGCUGGCGGUAUGCUUAACACAUGCAAGUCGAGCGCGAAAGUGGACUUCGGUCAUAAGUAGAGCGGCGGACGGGUGAGUAACACGUGGAUAAUCUGCCUUUAGGACUGGGAUAACCCGUGGGAAACUAGGGCUAAUACCGGAUAAGACCACAGGUUCCAUGGAACCGAGGGUAAAAGCGGCUUCGGGCUGUCGCCGAAAGACUGAGUCCGCGUCCCAUCAGGUAGUUGGUGAGGUAA
rnacentral:rRNA from 1 species